AGUGGGACCCUCUCCGAGAAAACGGGUGGCAAAAAAUCUGCUCGCUGCCAAGCACGACGGAGGAGGAGAAGAGCAGGCCCCAACUCCCAAGCGGCGCCCAGUGAGCAACGACCGCGAGCUAGCUCGAUUCCGCUCCGCUCCGGUUCGAUUCGAUUCUGCGGCAUCCUCCUCCCCGUCAAACCAGUCCCUCUCCGUCCCUGCUCGUCUCCAGAAGCAAGCUUUGGAGCUACAUAUCAAUGAGCAUUCGGAAGGAGAAUUGACAUACAUAUAGCAGUUGAAAGGAUGGGUUAUGGCAUGAGUAGGCUACAUGAGGGAUACAGUGAGCCUGAAGGGCUGAAUAGUGAUGGAUCUAGUUCAGUCGAAGUGAAUAAUGAUUUCUCAAAGUUACACAAUGAUAUUUUCCAUAUGACUCGACUAAGAUCAGGACCUAGUGAAAGCAUCCGCAAGUCCAUGGAUAGAGUCUCAGUGACUAGGUUGUUACGUGGAAGGGAAGUUAAUUCUUCAGGAAAUGGAAAGUUCUCUCCGGUUGAUCGUGCAUUCGUUCUUGGUCAUUAUCUUCCAGUGGAUGGUCCUGAAACGGUGGAUACAAUGGAUUCACGAGCUUAUGUUUCACAGUUUUCUGCCGAUGGUUCUCUUUUUGUUGCUGGUUUUCAGGGAAGCCACAUAAGAAUAUAUGAUGUCGAUAAAGGUUGGGAAAUACACAAGGACAUUCAUGCUAGAAGUUUGAGAUGGACAAUUAGUGAUGCAGCGUUAUCACCUGAUCAAAGGUUCCUUGUCUACUCUAGUCUGGCACCCAUUAUCCAUAUUGUCAAUGUUGGUACUGCUUCAAGAGAAUCAUAUGCUAAUGUCACUGACAUCCAUGAUGGAUUAGAUUUUUCAGAGCAUGAAGAUGUUAGAUAUUCAUUUGGACUCUUUUCUGUUAAAUUUUCCACUGAUGGGCGGGAGCUUGUUGCUGGCAGUAAUGAUGAUUCAAUAUAUGUCUAUGACCUUCAGGCCAACAAAGUGACAUUGCGUUUGCCUGCCCAUACAUCUGAUGUCAACACAGUAGCAUUUGCUGAUGAAUCUGGUAACCUACUUUAUUCUGGAAGCGAUGAUAACUUGUGCAAGGUCUGGGACAGACGUUGUUUGUCCACAGGGGAAGCGGCUGGGGUUUUGACUGGACAUCUGCAUGGCAUUACUCAUAUUGACAGCCGUGGAGAUGGUCGAUGUUUCAUAUCAAAUGGAAAAGAUCAAGCUAUUAAGAUGUGGGACAUCCGGAAAAUGACAUCCAAUGCUGAUGGUUCCGAAAACAGAGUCCCUGCCUGGGACUACAGAUAUUCAAGAUAUCCACAACAGUACAAGCAACAAAAGCAUCCACAUGACCAGUCAGUAGCUACAUACCGGGGCCAUUCAGUUCUCCGUACAUUGAUUCGUUGCUAUUUUUCUCCCACAUAUAGCACAGGACAGAAGUACAUAUAUACAGGAUCUUAUGAUGCUAGUGUCUGCAUCUAUGAUGUGGUAAGUGGGUCGCAAGUUGCCAAACUGCAAGGACAUCAUCAUUUGGCAGUUCGAGACUGCAGCUGGCAUCCGUCCGAUCCAAUGCUUGUCAGUUCAUCAUGGGACGGCCAGGUUGCCAGAUGGUCCAGGACUCGCUCCAAGCAAGAUACUUGUGAACUCGAUUAAAUCGAGUGUGCAGAUACUUCGCGUGCCCUGUAAUCUUCCGAUAUCAGGUGCAAUCUUGGGUCAAAAGGGAUACUCGGCACGGCUUGACAAAACAAUAGAAAAUGAAAAGGAACUCUAGCUAUGAUGUACAUAUAAAAUGGAAGCCAAGCCAAGUGCAUAUGUAGUAGUAUUUCAUUACACCUUCGGAGAAGGAUUUCCAAUGAUAUGAUAGCUACAAACACAAUACUGAAGUGCCAUACGUCUGAAUCCUAUGGGAUCAUAAUUUCAUCAUAUCAAAA
rnacentral:rRNA from 1 species